rnacentral:rRNA from 1 species
UAGUGGCGAACGGGUGAGUAACACGUGAGCAACCUGCCCCGAAGACUGGGAUAACAGCGGGAAACCGCUGCUAAUACCGGAUACCCCCAUCGGACGACAUCGCCCGAUGAGGAAAUGAAUUUCGCUUCGGGAGGGGCUCGCGGACUAUCAGCUUGUUGGUGAGGUAACGGCCCACCAAGGCUACGACGGUUAGCUGGCCUGAGAGGACGAUCAGCCACACUGGGACUGAGACACGGCCCAGACUCCUACGGGAGGCAGCAGUGGGGAAUAUUGCGCAAUGGGCGAAAGCCUGACGCAGCAACGCCGCGUGAGGGAUGACGGCCUUCGGGUUGUAAACCUCUUUCGAGCAGGGACGAUAAUGACGGUACCUGCAGAAGAAGCUCCGGCCAACUACGUGCCAGCAGCCGCGGUAAUACGUAGGGAGCGAGCGUUGUCCGGAUUCAUUGGGCGUAAAGAGCUCGUAGGCGGCUUGAUAAGUCGGAUGUGAAACCCCCAGGCUCAACCUGGGGUCGCCAUCCGAUACUGUCAUGGCUAGAGUCCGGUAGGGGCCCACGGAAUUCCUGGUGUAGCGGUGAAAUGCGCAGAUAUCAGGAGGAACACCGGUGGCGAAGGCGGUGGGCUGGGCCGGCAC